rnacentral:rRNA from 1 species
GAUGAACGCUGGCGGCGUGCCUAAUACAUGCAAGUCGAACGAAGAUCUAGCUUGCUAGAUCUUAGUGGCGAACGGGUGAGUAAUACAUAAAUAAUCUGCCCAUAUGACUGGGAUAACUAUUGGAAACGAUAGCUAAUACCGGAUAGGUUGAUCGGAGGCAUCUCUGAUGAAUUAAAGUAGGAUUUCUACGCAAAUGGAUGAGUUUAUGGCGCAUUAGUUAGUUGGUGGGGUAACGGCCUACCAAGACGAUGGUGCGUAGCCGACCUGAGAGGGUGACCGGCCACACUGGGACUGAGACACGGCCCAGACUCCUACGGGAGGCAGCAGUAGGGAAUUUUCGGCAAUGGGCGCAAGCCUGACCGAGCAACGCCGCGUGAGUGAUUAAGGCCUUCGGGUUGUAAAGCUCUGUUGUAAGGGAAGAACAUUCAGGAUAGGAAAUGAUCUUGAACUGACGGUACCUUACCAGAAAGCCACGGCUAACUACGUGCCAGCCGCCGCGGUAA